UAACUCGUCUGUAGCAUUGCAACCUUACAAUGGAGAUACCAGAAUAACUACAGAGGUAUCGCAUUGGCGAAAAAAAAGUCAUCACGAAAACGUGACGUGAUUUAUUGUUAUGGAUAUGAAGUGUAUUUCAUUUCUUACUGGUCUAUGAUAUGUUAUGCACAAAAGACUGUUACUUUGCUGGAGUGUGGUCGUGUGUGAUGGGCGCUGUUUUAAAUGUUCAUUUAUAAUUAUUUUAACGGAUUCAUCGAAAUGUGACUUGUAUCACAUUGGCAAAUUUAAUUCUAGUGUUAUCCCAGAACCACGCAAGCCUUCAUAUUAUGUUAUGUAAAAGUAGUAAGUGCUGUGAUGAAGUUUAUUUGUGAUUGGACGUCUUAUCUUCAAUUGCUGAAAAUUGUGAGAUAUCCUAACAUUCCCAAAAAAGGUGAUAUGACACCCGCCCGCGAGUAGUGCGUUUGUCAGUCAUGGUUAUGCUUUACACACGACACAAACUUAGUUUAACAGAAAUAAGAGGCCUCUCACACCGAAAGUGAAAUUUCAGAAACGUAAAAUUAUCCUUAAAUAUUAUAACAAUUAUCUGUUUUAAGUUUGUACGGCUACAAGUAAUAGGUCAUAACACUUUCUGACAAAAUAGAUUGUCCACUGUGUUGUAGAUUUACAGGAAGAAGAAAUAUGGUUUGAUUAUUUAUUUAUAGUUUAUUUAACGACGCAUUUUCAGUAUUCUUGACUAUAUAGCAUUGAAUGAGAGGUUGGUAGUGAAUAAUGAAUUGAAAAGGAUGUGGAAGGAAGCAGUUAUGGCCAAAUUUAAGGUACUUGCCCAACAAGAAAUAUGCUACUGCACAAGCAGAAAAGGGCUUAAAAAUGAUGCUAGUAGUAGAGGCAUAGACAUAUGAGAAGUGAAGAAGAAUUUUAUUGCAGGCUUGUCAUUUUCCAUCUCUAUAUGCAUGUGAAUAUGUCGACAGCCAAAUGCCUCCAACGUGAGGAAGCAGAGCAUAUUACUGAAAUAUCUAAAAGUAUAAUGUGGUAUAAAUGAAGUAAAUAAAUGUCUUUUAUUAACUCACAUUGUAAAAAGAUGUACAAAAUAAUAUUAAAUUAAAUUUAUAAUCAUAUAUUACAUCACAUUUUAAGUUUUAAAUAAACAUGUAAGUUAAUUACAAUCAAAAUAAUAUUACAUAAAAAAGGACAUCACAAUUAUUGCAGUCGAUGCAUCAACAUUCCUUGUAGGCAGAGCAACUUAAUUUAUCUUCAUAUUACAUUAAGCACAUUAUAUUAUGGUUCUUUUUAGGUUAUGAUAUGUUGCAGUUACUAGAUAUCAUGUGGUGUAUUUGUAUUUGACAAAUAUAAUUCAUGACAGAAA